GACGAACGCUGGCGGCGUGCUUAACACAUGCAAGUCGAACGGAAAGGCCCUGCUUGCAGGGUACUCGAGUGGCGAACGGGUGAGUAACACGUGGGUGAUCUGCCCUGCACUUCGGGAUAAGCCUGGGAAACUGGGUCUAAUACCGGAUAGGAGCCAUUUUUAGUGUGAUGGUUGGAAAGUUUUUUCGGUGUAGGAUGAGCUCGCGGCCUAUCAGCUUGUUGGUGGGGUAAUGGCCUACCAAGGCGGCGACGGGUAGCCGGCCUGAGGGGGUGGACGGCCACAUUGGGACUGAGAUACGGCCCAGACUCCUACGGGAGGCAGCAGUUGGGAAUAUUGCACAAUGGGCGCGAGCCUGAUUCAGCGACGCCGCGUGGGGGAUGACGGCCUUCGGGUUGUAAACUCCUUUCGCUAGGGACGAAGCUUUUUGUGACGGUACCUAGAUAAGAAGCACCGGCUAACUACGUG
rnacentral:rRNA from 1 species